rnacentral:rRNA from 1 species
AAGCAGCCACUCAUUAAAAGAGUGCGUAAUAGCUCACUGGUCGAGCGUCUCUGCGCGGAAAAUUUAACGGGGCUAAGAUACAAACCGAAGCUUAGGCUGCAUCGUAAGAUGCGGGGUAGGGGAGCGUUGUGUAAGCGGAGAAACAGUAGCGAAAGCGGCUGUGGAGUUUACAGAAGUGAGAAUGCCGGAAUGAGUAGCGCGAAUGCAGUGAGAAUCUGCAUGGCCGAAAGCCUCAGGUUUCUGGAGGAAGGUUCGUCCGCUCCAGGUUAGUCGGGAGCUAAGGUGAGGCCGAAAGGCGUAGCCGAUGCACAGACGGUAGAGAUUCCGUCACCACCAAAAGAGUUAAGCACAGGGACACAUAUGAAGUCUCAGAGCCGGGUGUUGGUUCCGGUAGAGAUCGAGGGAAAUUAGUACCGAAGUCUGAGAUGGAAGAUGGCGAGAAAAGCUGUGUGUAUUUCUGCGGUGCCCGUACCGCAAACCGACACAGGUAGGUAGGAAGAAGAUUCUAAGGCCAACGGGAGAAGGGUUGUUAAGGAACUCGGCAAAUUGACCCCGUAACUUCGGGAGAAGGGGUGCUCCAGAGAUGGAGCCGCAGAGAAUCGGCCCAAGCAACUGUUUACCAAAAACACAGGUUUGUGCUAAAUCGAAAGAUGACGUAUACGAGCUGACGCCUGCCCGGUGCUGGAAGGUUAAGAGGAGAUGUGCAAGCAUUGAAUCGAAGCCCCAGUGAACGGCGGCCGUAACUAUAACGGUCCUAAGGUAGCGAAAUUCCUUGUCAGGUAAGUUCUGACCCGCAUGAAAGGCGUAAUGAUUUGGGCACUGUCUCAACAGCCCGCCCGGCGAAAUUGUAGUACCGGUGAAGAUGCCGGUUACCCGCGACAAGACGGAAAGACCCCAUGGAGCUUUACUGUAGCCUAAUAUUGGGUUUCGAUGUUGCAUGCACAGGAUAGAUGGGACUCUUGGAAACCAAGGCUUUGGCUUUGGCGGAGAGGCCGUUGGGAUACCAUCCUUGCGAUAUUGGAAUUCUAACCUGCGGCUCUGAAUCGAGUCGGGGGACAUUGUUA